AUUGAACGCUGGCGGCAGGCCUAACACAUGCAAGUCGAGCGGAUGAAGGGAGCUUGCUCCUGGAUUCAGCGGCGGACGGGUGAGUAAUGCCUAGGAAUCUGCCUGGUAGUGGGGGAUAACGUCCGGAAACGGGCGCUAAUACCGCAUACGUCCUGAGGGAGAAAGUGGGGGAUCUUCGGACCUCACGCUAUCAGAUGAGCCUAGGUCGGAUUAGCUAGUUGGUGGGGUAAAGGCCUACCAAGGCGACGAUCCGUAACUGGUCUGAGAGGAUGAUCAGUCACACUGGAACUGAGACACGGUCCAGACUCCUACGGGAGGCAGCAGUGGGGAAUAUUGGACAAUGGGCGAAAGCCUGAUCCAGCCAUGCCGCGUGUGUGAAGAAGGUCUUCGGAUUGUAAAGCACUUUAAGUUGGGAGGGAGGGCAGUAAGUUAAUACCUUGCUGUUUUGACGUUACCAACAGAAUAAGCACCGGCUAACUUCG
rnacentral:rRNA from 1 species